rnacentral:rRNA from 1 species
GCACAAGCGGUGGAGCAUGUGGCUUAAUUCGAAGCAACGCGAAGAACCUUACCAGGUCUUGACAUCCCGAUGCUAUUUCUAGAGAUAGAAAGUUACUUCGGUACAUCGGUGACAGGUGGUGCAUGGUUGUCGUCAGCUCGUGUCGUGAGAUGUUGGGUUAAGUCCCGCAACGAGCGCAACCCCUAUUGUUAGUUGCCAUCAUUCAGUUGGGCACUCUAGCGAGACUGCCGGUAAUAAACCGGAGGAAGGUGGGGAUGACGUCAAAUCAUCAUGCCCCUUAUGACCUGGGCUACACACGUGCUACAAUGGUUGGUACAACGAGUUGCGAGUCGGUGACGGCGAGCUAAUCCCUUAAAGCCAAUCUCAGUUCGGAUUGUAGGCUGCAACUCGCCUACAUGAAGUCGGAAUCGCUAGUAAUCGCGGAUCAGCACGCCGCGGUCGAAUACGUUCCCGGGCCUU